CGCCGAACGUAACAGGUGGAUUCAGGCGGAACAAAAUAAAAUAAAUGACAGCGUUAAGGCUCUCAUAAAGAAGAAGAAAAAUUUCGAGGCGGUAGCGGCUGCGGAGAAGGAGGAGAAGGAAAGAACGGAGAACCUGGCGCAGGAAGUGGUGGAUGAAUCUGAAACAAACCAGUCGUCGGAAUUGUUGGAAAUCGAAGGCAGAGUUAAAUCUGGAGCUUCUUUGCCCGAUUCGUCAUGCGGCGAGAAUUCUGACGAGGAUAAGGAAAUUGUAGGAGAUUCGGAAGAAAUAGCGAACGACGAUC
rnacentral:misc_RNA from 1 species